AGAAUCAACGCUGGCGGCGUGCCUAACACAUGCAAGUCGAACGAGAAAGUGGAGCAAUCCAUGAGUAAAGUGGCGACCGGGUGAGUAACACGUGACCAAUCUACCCUUGAGUGGGGGAUAACCUCGGGAAACCGGGGCUAAUACCGCAUAAUAUCUUCGGGACGGAAGUACUGAAGAUCAAAGGAGCAAUUCGCUUAAGGAGGAGGUCGCGGCUGAUUAGCUAGUUGGCGGGGUAAUGGCCCACCAAGGCAAAGAUCGGUAGCCGGCCUGAGAGGGCGCACGGCCACACUGGAACUGAAACACGGUCCAGACUCCUACGGGAGGCAGCAGUGGGGAAUUUUGCGCAAUGGGGGAAACCCUGACGCAGCAACGCCGCGUGGAGGAUGAAGUCCUUGGGACGUAAACUCCUUUCGACCCGGACGAUAAUGACGGUACGGGUGGAAGAAGCCCGGCUAACUUCGUGCCAGCAGCCGC
rnacentral:rRNA from 1 species